GGGUCAUUCUGAUAGUUCAGA
rnacentral:miRNA from 1 species